AAUAAUUUCAUGGGUUGAUGAUUUGACAUUGGUCUACUUGUCACAAAUGCCUGCCUAUAGUGUCAAAGAAUUCACUCUCAAGAAUCUCGUCUUUGUCCUUCGUAUCGGCAGAAGGCUGAAAUGAGAUGUCUUUUACCCAAAACUUUGCUGGAUAAUGGAUACUUUCCAAUAGGCACCCAAAACAGUGGAGAAAAUAACAAGGGCAAAGUUGACAAAGUUUACAACUAUAGUUGGGGUGGUCAAACAAAGAUGCCAUCUUAUGUAAACAAACUGGUGUUCCCUGAGAUAUGCAUGACUACUUUGAGGACCAUAGUCAUGCAAGAAGAUGAGCUUUUCAAGUUUUCCUGAAUGCUGGAAGAGGAUCAAGUAAUUGGAAUACUAGACUGGGAAUUGUCUACCCUUGGUAACCAAAUGUGUGAUGUUGCAUAUAGCCGUAUGGUAUGUACUAUAUUGUCAUUUUUCUGCAUCAAGACUUUUUGGCAAAUAAAGAUGUGUUAUAAUAAUGCAUUCCACUUACAGUGUGCUUGGUUGGACGGAAAUGGAGGAGGAUAGAAAACAAUCAUUCCUUCUUUCCAAAUUUCAAAAAGAGUGUAGAAAAUUAAGUGAAGGAUCUAUCAAUAAUAAGUGAAUUGAUUUAUGUUAGGGCACCACUCA